UUUAGGCAGCAAAUUAUGGAAUCCCAUGAUGAAGAGCAUGCUGCCAAACUACUAAGAGCUCAAACCCACAUAUGGAAUCACAUAUUUAGCUUCAUAAACUCCAUGGUCCUUAAAUGUGUGGUUGACUUAGGCAUACCAGAUAUCAUACACAACUAUGGCCAACCCAUGCCACUCUCAAACCUCAUUGCUUCACUACCAAUCCACCCAUCCAAAACUUGCUUCGUCCAUCGCUUGAUGCGAAUCAUGAUCCAUUCUGGCUUCUUCUCUCAACAAAAUCAUGACUUGGAGAAUGAGCUAGAAGCCAAGUAUGUGCUAACCGAUGCAUCGAUCUGUACAAUUGCUUAAGAACCAUCCGAUGAGUGUGACACCUUUCUUGCAUGCCAUGCUUGAUCCAGUUUUGACAAAUCCAUGGAAUCAAUUUUCUACUUGGUUCAAAAAUGGUGACCCUACACCAUUUGAAACGGCACAUGGGAAGAUGUUUUGGGAUUAUGCUGGCGCUGAUCCGAAACUUAAUCACUUGUUCAAUGAUGCCAUGGCAAGUGAUGCUCGAUUUGUCACUAGUUUGGUGAUUGAGAAAUGUAAGGGAGUGUUCAUGGGAUUGGAGUCAUUGGUUGAUGUUGGGGGAGGCACAGGGACCAUGGCAAAAGCCAUUGCUUAAUCAUUCCCUCGGGUGGAAUGCAUUGUGUUUGAUCUACCACAUGUUGUUUCUGGCUUGAAAGGAAGUGAGAACCUUAAAUAUGUUGCAGGGGACAUGUUUGAGGCAAUUCCUCCAGCUGAUGCCAUUUUGUUAAAGGUAAAUCACUAUUCACAUUCAGAAUACAAUUUUACAUUCAUACCAUUAACACCCAGUUUUUAUACUUGAGUGAUGCCAAAUUUUAAAGAAUUAAAGCAAAUAAUUGAUCGAUUGGAAAAAAAAAAUGAACGAUUUUAUCAUCAUUGAUCACUUGAAAUAACUUCAAAUUUUUAUAUGUAUAUUGUUGACUAAGCUAGUAAGCUGGCACCAGCCAGUAGUCCAAUUACAUAUCUGCCACUAUCAUACCAAAUUAGACCAACUCGCAUAUAUCUAAGACUCUAAAUCAGUGAAAACAAAAUAUAAAAAAUAAAAUUAGUGGAUUCAAUUAUAUAAAUAUAAAUAAAAUAAAAUAUAAAAAUAUAAAAUUUUAUUUUCAAAUUUAAUGAAUUUUAAAAAAUGAGGGAUACAAGUACACGCCUAAAGCCAACAUAAAUCUGCCACUGGACCAACUAAGUGGUGUAUAUGGCUUGUAAUAAUUAGUACUAGUUUACUAAGUGAGUACGUAAAGUAGCUAGCAUAUGAUUAUUUGACAAGUAAAUCUCUACUCAUAUUCUAGAAAAAAUAGUUAUAGAUCUCUUCAAAUUUGACUUUUCUUUUUUCUGAAGUAUUGACUAUAUGUUGCGGUUAAAAACAUUACAUGAUGUGCCAAUUCAUUCUACCAAGCUUAAUAUGAAUGCAAGUCAAUAUUUUAUGAUUCUGAUCGGUGUGUUACUUUGAAUGACAAAGCAGUGGAUAUUGCAUGACUGGAAUGAUAAGGAGUGUGUGGACAUAUUGAAGAAAUGCAAAGAGGCCAUAACGAGGAAAGGCAAAGAAGGGAAGGUGAUCAUCAUAGACAUGGUGGUGGAGGAUGAGAAGAGAGAUGAUGAAUCAGUUGAAACACAGCUCUUCUUUGAUAUGCAGAUGAUGGUGUUGGUCACUGGAAAAGAGAGAAGCAAGAAAGAAUGGACUAAGUUGAUUUCUUCUGCUGGUUAUAACAACUACAAGAUAACUCCAGUCUUUGGCUUAAGGUCUCUCAUUGAGAUCUAUCCAUAGUAAGUUAUUGAGAUGUGCCAGCACUCUAUCAUUCAUAUAUGUAAGGGCUAUAAUUUUUCUGUUUCGAUUCAUGAGUGAAUGUUGGAUAAGUAACAAUAGCAAUAGACUGAACUCUCUUCAUCAUAGUUGUGUUGUUGGAACAGUACUGUCAAUAAAGGAAAAAAAAAAGAUCUGAGGAUAAGUAUAGUUUGCGUGGUAUAUAUAGCAGGUGAAGAAGAAAAGGAACACGUGGUUAAAGAGCACCGUGAGAGUUUAGCAAUUACUUUUUUUUUUGGUAACUGAAUUUGCCUUGUAUUAGAUUUGUGAAGAACUAAGUUUGUGAGAGUUGUUAUUGAAUAAGAUUGUUUCUAAAGGGUUUGAUAAAGGUAUAAUGGUUUAUUUAAAUACAUUUCACUAUUUUAGUAUUUUAAGUAAGUUCAUAAUGAUGUGAUUAUGUGUCAUGUCAAUAAAAAUACAUCAUUAAUCUCAUCUUAAUAAUAAUAUCAUGCCAACAAUGAAAUUAAUGACAAUAAAAUAAAAUAAUUUUUUUUUAUGAAAACUUAAAAUAGAUAAAAUAAAUAUUACAGAACCUAAAAAUGAAAAGAAAUUAUAAGAAUUAAAAAAAAUAGAAUUUGCUUAUGUCUUUAACUAUCACUUAAAGUUGUUUAUAAUUUUUAUUUUAAAUAUUGGGUUGGACAAAAGAAAUGAUCAUUGUAUUCAUGUUAAGAAUAAAUAAAACAAAACAUAGUGGUAAAAAAAUAUAACAAAUUAAAUCCUAUAAUUUUUCUUUUGGAUGAAGUAUGAAUAUAAAAAGUAAGAGAGACAAAGUUGAAGACAUCAUCAAAGAAUUUUUCAUAAAUUUCUCUAUGAUGACUUCAGGAUAAAAAUCUCAUAUUUGACUUCAAAACACUUGAACACAUAUCCUAAUUAGCUAAAGUAUCAAUCACAUGAUUAGAAUCAUGUGACAUAAUUGCAAGUAACAAAGUUUAAAUGUUUCUCACUAACGCUAUUAAAUAAAAUAAGAUUAAUUGAAAUUUAUUUGUAUUUGAAGUCAAGACACAGAUAUAAUUUUUUGCUUGCAUUCGAAAUGAAAGAAAGCAAGGUCGUCUAAACUCUUAAAGAAAAUGGUUGGAGGUAGACAGAGGUGAAUGCACAUAUAAGCUUGUUCCCACCGUAUGAAUUUUUAUACUUGAAUAUAAUACUCCUAUUCAUAUGGACAUAGAUGCAAAAGUUUGAGAUGAGGAAGGUCACAAGCUUGGAUAGGUUUGGAAGAUAAAUGGUUUGUGAGAAUAUAUAAAUACUAAAUCAAAACAUAUUAUUGGAAGACAGUUGAAGGACUGGCGUUGGAGUAGUUAGUGCAGUGGAAAUAAAUGCUAUUAUUGGAGGACGGUUGAAGGAUUAGCGUACAUGGGGCUAGUUAUUGCGGUGGGAAUAAAUGCUAAAUUAAAACAUAUUAUUGGUGGAAAUUAGCGAUGGAAAUGAGUCAAGCUGCUUGUCAAGGACCUUUUGCUCGGUCUAUUUAAGGCUUGGUUCGGCUUGGCUUGUUUACUAUAAAGAUCAAGCUCAAGCUUUUUAAAAACUUUUUUAGAUAAAAAGGUCAAAGUCAAAUUAUAAAAAAAAGUUUGUUAAGCUUGACAAACCGGCUUGUUUAAGUAAUAAUAAUAAUAUUAAUAAUAAUAAUAACUAUUAUCUAUAUCAUUUUUAUGGCAUUAUGAAUGAUAGGAUGAAGUGACAUAAAGUGUUUAGAGAGUUCACUUGCAUGUGAAAAAUUUUCAAAAAGAAAAAGACUCAAGUUAAAAGGAUAAAGCAAUCAGAUUAAUACUUAAAAAAAAAGGAUGCUUUGUAAAAACAUUUUCACACAAUUUAAAUAUUUUUACUUGAUUAUCUUAUUAUAAAUCAUCUCUAAUCCAUAUAUUUUUUAAUAUUAUGCUCUCUUUUUUCAUUUUCUUUUGAUAUACUCCGUGUUUUAACAACUUGAAUUCAAUAUGAUUUUGUUUAUCAAUUAUUUUUGGAUUUGUACAUUACUUAUACUAAAUUUUAUAAGUUUCUUUUUUUAGUUAGUAUUUCACUAUGUUUUAGAAUAAUUAUUUGGUCAAUGACGUCUUUAAGCAUGCUUUUAAAUAGGCUCGUAGGCCAAGUCAGGCUUUUUUGUGAGUCGAGCCGAGCCUUUAAAAAAAAUCGUAUGACAGGUAAUGAGCGAAACUCAAGUUUUGCGUAUUCAACUCAAGCCUAGUAAAUCUUGGCUUGACUUAGCUCAUUUCCACCCCUAGUGGGAAUAGGGGCCAACUUUUAAUUUUACUACAAGCACUUUAAUUAGUAGGGGUGGGUAAGCGGGCUGGCCCGCCCCACGUAAGGCUCGUCCGCAUAAGCCCGCAUUGGUAGUGGAUCGGGCCAGCCCGUCCCGCAUUCAUACACGGACCAAAUAAAUUGGUUCGCCCCUGCCCCGUGGACCCCGCGGGUCAAACGGGUUGGUACGCGGGCCUAAUUUUAAAAGAAUUUCAAUUUCAAUAAAAAUACAACACGAUCAAAUUAAGUUCAAUACAAAUGUAAAUAAAAUCUUAACAAUUAGUCAAUUACAUCAAUAAAAUAAAUAAUGUAUUAACAAAAGAAAAUCCAAACAAUAAAUUUAAAAUAUGAAACUUAAACAUCUCUAACAACAAAUGAUUUCAUAGUUGAAACAAUAAAAUCCUAAUGGGGGCAACCCAUAGACCCCGCGGGCCAAACCCACAUAGUCCGCGGAUUAAGCAGAACGAACCCAAAAAUAUGACAUAACCAUGAACCGUUUAAAAAAAUUAAUUUAUUACCCGCGCGAACUGCGGUACAGUCCAUGGACCUGAACCUAUUUAUCCACCCCUAUUAAUUACAGUCCAUGUUUCUAAUUGCGGUCCCAAACUUUCCAAAAAUUACGAUCACCAACUAUUUUUAAAAACCUAGCUACAGAGGAUAAAGUCCUUGCUUAAACAUCUUCUCGGGUUUUUUUACCAAAUUACAUAUUCUCUCUCCAUUCUUUUCCUAAAAUACACUACUUUGGCCUUUUAUUCCCAAAGUACACCUGUUUUGGCCACUUCACGGAAGUCGGGUUCUCACACCUCGACUUUCGUUCUUCCUUUUUUUUUUUAUAAAAAAGUUUUUGUAUUAUUAAAAUUAAAUAUUAUAUUAUAUAAAAUUAUUUUUAAAUAAUUUGAAAAUUAUUUAUUUAUUAAAUUAAUUUAUGUAAUAUUAUUUUAUAAUUUAAUUUUGUUAUUAAAAAAAUGAUAUUAUUAAAUUUAAGUGUUUUUGUUAUAUUAUUUAAAUUAUUUAAGAUAUUUUUUGGUGAAUAUAUAUUUUAAAAUCUGAAUUUUGUAUAAUAAUAUAUUUAUUUUAGUAAAUAUUUAUUUUGUAUAAUAAUCUGAAUUUUAAAAUUUUUAAUUUAACUAUUUUAUUAAAUAUAAUUAGUUUGUUUAUGUUAUUAGAUUUAAUUAAAAAUGAUAAAACUAAAGCUUUUAACAAUUUAUUUAUAUAAGAACAUUAUACUACGUCAUCAAUAAAAUAUUUAAACAAUGACAUUUGUCUAAGGAAAAACUAAGAUGAGGAUACAUUAGGACAAUUAUUUCUGCUAUGACCAUGUUGCCGGCAAAGUCCACAUUUUUUUCUACUUGCUCGUUCAUUUUCGUCUUCGUCCAUCUCAGUAGGAAUGCGAGUUGAAACGGGACGACCCUUUGCAGUCCUCUUUCUCCUUGGAUCAGGACCCCACUGAUCUCCUUCAUAUUCUUGCCACAUUGAUUCGUGUGGCAAUAAACCAAAGGAGUUGUCGUAGAUGUGCAAAAUGUGUUGUAAAGUGAAUAUCAUCGGCACAUAGGUCAUGGGAUCAACAUUGACAGAUUUACAGGCAGCCAUGACGUGAGAACACGGUAAAUGUUUAUCCUGAAAUUCACCACAAUCACACUUUUGGGAUUGUAACAUUACUCUAAACCUUCCAGGUGGUCUGGGUGUUUCAAGUGGGGAUUGAGUCUCGGUUAUAAUAAAAGUGUGAUUGUGUCUGUCGAAUUCAUUUACAAUGUGUGUAUUAGAUUCUUGUUGACCACUAUUGAUUGCAUCGAAGAAGACUUCAGAAUACUGUGAGCCGGAGUUGAUCAUUUCCUGAGUUUGUCGACCUCUAUUAGCAAAGAGUUGUGCGGUCUUGAAAUAGGUCUCCUCAACCAAUGAUGACACCAGCAAAUGUCUUGUGUUUUUUAACAUGAAAUUAACAGACUCCGACAAAUUGGUAGUCAUAUGUCCCCAACGUUUCCCCUCAUCAAAGCAUUGUACCCAUUUUUGUUUGGGUAAUUGAUCAAGCCAUUCAGCUGCACUUGGCUUAUUCGCACGAAUAUCCCCAAGAUGUCGCCAGUGCAUCUUCUCCGUGUAUGCGUACCCUGUAAAUAUUUAAUCAAUGUAUUAUGUUAUAAAAUUUGAUUGAAAGAAAAUUAUAACGAAUAAAUAAAAUAGAUUUUCACCAGCCAACAUAAGUGGUUUCUUUAAAUGUUUGCAGUUUGAGUUACCACGAAGAAAGUUUUGUGCAAUGUGGCACAGGCAAAAGAAAUGGGAUGUGUCCUGGACCCAUAAGUUACUUGGGUUGUUGUAGGCACUUAUAAUUGAGGAGUGUCGGUCUGAAAUAAGAGAAAUGUUAAUUUGCGGAGUAACAUGUCUUCUCAAAUUCUUUAGAAAAAACCUCCAAGCUGAAGUUGUCUCCCCUUCUACAAUGGCAUAGGCAAUCGGGAAGAUAUGGUUAGCUCCAUCUUGUGCGGUAGCUAUCAACAGUGUGCCAGUAUACUUUCCAUAAAGCCAUGUACCAUCUACUUGUACAAUGGGUUUGCAAUAUGCAAAACCAUUAAUGCAUGGACCAAAUGACCAAAAGACACGUUUAAACAAUCUUUUGCUCGGUACUAUUUCUCCCCCCUCAUACAAGGAUUCUGUUUGAGCAGCGACCACAGUCCCGGGAACACAAGAUUGCAAAGCUCCGAAAAGUUUUGGCAGUUUGGCAUAUGAUUCUUCCCAGUUUCCAUGAAUCAUCUCCAAUGCUUUUUGCUUUGCUAACCAUGUCUUCUUGUAGGAUGGGGUAUAAUUCAUGAACGUUUUGAUCUCUGCAAUCAAUGUCUUGAUGAAGACAGUUGGGUUUGUUUUGACAAUUGGUUGGAUGAUCUGUGUUAUGACGUGUUUGUCGAGUUGGCGAUGAUCUUGUCUAAGCAUCGGCACGAGACAAGUGUGAUGACCUCUGAUACUCUUGAUAAUCCAUUUGUUAUGCCUCUUUGAAUUGCAUGCGCCCAAGCUCCAUGUACAACCAUUUUCAUGUAACUUGCAGACGAAGUGUAGCCUUCUUUGGUCAGAGUAAAUUGUUCUGCAAUCAAAAUGAUUUCUGAUGUUGUAUUCUUUGAUUGCUCGAAUACAUUGUGAUUUGUCAUCGAAUGUCAUGCCAACCUCGAGUACACCGACUGGUGGUUGCACAUUGUGUUGCUGAUAAACAAAAUGGGGUCGAUCAAUAUAGUGUAGUAGGUGGUCAAAGUUCAAGUCUACUGGACACCUAGGUUGCUGAUAUUGCAACAGAGGUGACGGAGGUGUCGUUGGUCUGCCAACACCCUCGUCAUCGAUUUGGUCAUCACUUUGGUCAUCGCUUUGCUGAUUGAUGUGAUCAAAGAACUGUUGAUCCUCAUCCUCAGUAAAAUCAUCCAUGUUUUCAUGAUGAAAUCGUAUAAUGGGAUCUUCGUUAGCAAUAGGAUGUUCAUCUCGGUUUGAUAUUUGCGUUUGUGGUAGCUGUGAAGGUGGCGUAAAGGGGGAUGAAGGAUGGUUUUGUUGGUCAAAGGAGGUUUGUUGGCCAUGAAAAAAGGAAUCAUUCUCGGAUAAUAUUUGUGUGUAUGAAGUAUAAAUGUCAAAGGGGUCUUGUGAUUCAAGGUUGUUGUAUGAAGAUACUGGAUUAUUGAGGUCUAUGUUGUUGUACGGUAACUGUUGUGGAGGCAGUAGUUGUAGUUGUGGACAUGAGGGUUGUGGAGACGAUGGUUGUGGUUGAGAAAUAAGCUCAGUAACAGCAUAGAAUUCGGCAGAAUUCAAUUGUGGAUUCUGGAUAAUUGUUUCCAUCGCGCCUCUAAGAUCAUCAUUGUCGAAUAGUUGAGCCGAAAUAAAACGUGUCUGACCGAGAUGAAUUGAAAUAGGGACACGAAAUAACAAUUGAGCAACUUGUUCAGUUGCUCGAGUAGAAAGACGAUUGUUAAUUUUUCGAAUGAAUUGUGUAAACGUAAUAGAACGACUGGCGUAAAAAAAUAUUGGGGUCGUACAUUGGUACGUCGAUCCUUGAACGGGAUCAUCUACAAUGUGACCACUGUGGUAAAUGAGGGUCGGAAUUUCUUUAGGUGGAGCCAUGGUGGUGCUUAUGGGAUAUGAGUGGAAAUGGUGUGAGAGUUACAAAUCGAGUUUUGUUUUGUGAGAAAAUUGUUGUGUGUGAUAUGUUGUUGUCAAAUGGUGAUAUUAUAUAUAGGCUGAGAAAGUUUAGUACUAGAGUUAGAUUGUAAUGUUAGGUGGGAGAGUUAGAUUGGAAGGUUAGGUUGGGAGAGUUAGUUACGAGGGUUAGAUGGGAGUGUUAGAUUGGAAGGUUAGAUGAAAGAGUUAGAUUGGAAGGUUAGGUGGGAGAGUUAGUUACGAGGGUUAGAUGGGAGGGUUAGGUGAGAGUGUUAGAUUGGAAGGUUAGGUAAGAUAGUUAGAUCGAAAGGAUAGAUGGGAGGGUUAGGCAGCAAAGUUAGUUACGACGGUUAGGUAGGAGAGUUAGGUAGGACAUUAAGUGCAUGUGAGUAAUUUAGUGUACACAUGUGAGUGAACAGUAUGCAACCUCACACAUUAAUAUACAUGACAGACUGUUCGUUUAAUCAUGAUUGUUGACCGCAGUGUUCUGUAUCGCAUGCCAAGGUCACAUGGAUUGUUCAGAAACAUGUUAAUGGGAUAAACAUACGCAUGUGAGUGAACAGUGUGCAACACCAAACUUCAAAGCAUCUCUGAAAUGAUGCAUAUGUAGACUAUUAUUACUGAAGUAAAUUAAAAAUAACAACUUCAAAGCAUACAACAACUACAACUAGAUAAUAAAGACGGAGAAAAACUUCAAUGCAAUACAACAACAAAAUAUGUUAAAUUAUUCAUUCUAAUUUCAUGGUAUUCUCCAGCUUCUGCUCCAUGUCAGCCCAACUUAGGUCAUUAACUUGAGUAGGUGAUAAUGAAUUAUGAACAUCAACUUUAAGUUCCAUACAUAUUACACUUCUCAUAUUGAGAAAUGUAUGAAACAUGCAUGAGACACCUUCUUCGUCAAUAAUUUGAAUUGCCCUAUAUUGAACUUCACCAUUUAAUUGAUAUAUAGGACAACGAUACCAAAGGGUAUUAAUUAUAGGCGUAACACCAUUAUCUGUAAUUGAUGACUGUAUUGCAGUGAUUAUAUUUGGCAGCGUCAUUGUUGGAUUCAAGAGUAACGACUUUGUGUUGUCACCUCUGAAAAUUGCAUUUGCACUUGAACUUUGAAUGAUUUCACCAUUGAUAUAAACGUACACACAAAUAGGCUUUGACCUCAUUGCUAGCCCUCUCUGUUUUCUCUCACAAUUUGAUUAGACACAACAGUGCAAAGUAUUAGGUGACAUGGUAGGUUUAUAUAUGCAAUCAAUCACGGGUCCAUGGUUCACGUGAAUUAGAAUCUCGAUGCAUCACAGUAACACAGUCGUGUUAAUGUGCUUUGGAAUCUCGAGGCCUUACAACGAGACAAAAUAUAAAUGUGGUUUGGAAUCUCGAGGCAUUACAAUUACAUUAAGUGUAAUGUUGAGGCCAUGCGAAAUGUUGAGAACAAAGCUAAUGCGGUUAUCGUACGCAUGUGGGUGAAUAGUGUGCAUGAAAAUGUCAUUGGUUCACGUGCAUUAGAAUCUCGAUGCGUGACAGUACCACAAUUGAUGCUAAUGUGCUUUGGAAUCUCGAGGCCUUGCAACGAGACAAUUUAUAAAUGUGCUUUGGAUUCUCGAGACAUUUACAAUUACCUUAUCGUACGCAUGUGGGUAAAUAGUGUGCACGAAAAUAUCAUUGGUUCACGUGCAUUAGAAUCUCGAUGCGUGACAGUACCACAGUUGAUGUUAAUGUGCUUUGGAAUCUCGAGGCCUUGCAACGAGACAAUUUAUAAAUGUGCUUUGGAUUCUCGAGACAUUUACAAUUACCUUAUCGUACGCAUGUGGGUGAAUAGUGUGCACGAAAAUGUCAUUGGUUCACGUGCAUUAGAAUCUCGAUGCAUGACAGUACCACAGUUGAUGUUAAUGUGCUUUGGAAUCUCGAGGCCUUGCAACGAGACAAUUUAUAAAUGUGCUUUGGAUUCUCGAGACAUUUACAAUUACCUUAACGUACACAUGCGGGUGAACAGUGUGCACAAAAUUUUAGUGAUUCACGUGAAUUAGAAUCUCGAUGCACCACAGUACCAUAGUCAUGUUAACGUGCUUUGGAAUCUCGAGGCCUUGCAACGAGACAAAUUAUAAAUGUGCUUUGGAAUCUCGAGGCAUUACAGUUAUCUUAAGUGUAUUUGUGCUUGCAAAACCGAACAUAGUGUAAAUAAUAAAUAGAUGAGAGGUGCAUGUCAAUACCACAUGUGCAUCACCCAACUUCAAAUUUUAUAUCAUUUGUAUUCGGUUUACCAUUUGACAUCAUUCUCAUGGAUGAUAAACCUCUAUUGCGUCAUCGACAUGUUCAUCUUUCACGUACUACGAUUAAUGAGUUAAUCACUUCCUAUUACCAUACAAUACCUGAACCAGAACCACAAAUUAUACCAUUAUUAUCAUCUACCGGGUUCCAACAUAUUGCCUUAAUCAAACAGUGUAAAAUUGAUCCUGCAUUGAUCACUGCAUUGGUUGAACGAUGGAGGCCUGAAACACAUACCUUUCACCAGCCAUGGGGAGAGUGCACCAUCACACUCGAAGAUGUUGCACUUUGUAACAUCCCAUUUUUUCAUAAAUAAAUUUAAGAAUUUUUUAGUAAAAAUAAUAAAAAUAAAUAAAUAGAGUAAAUAAUAGGUCGUAAAUGCCCCUAGUUAUAAAUAACAACAUGCUAGGUUUUUCAGACAGACUCCUCAGCCUUCUUUGCCUCUCAUUUUCGUUUUUCUCCUUCUCCUCUCAAAACCCUUUCUUUUUCCCGCAGCCCACAAAACUUGUCUCAGAAAAACGAUGAUCUCGGACUCAUUAACCGUUGGAUCGUCGUGAAAUUUGAGCACCACAUUCGCAACCCAAUUUCGAGCAUUCUCACCGUUAGGAAUUGCAAAAUCAUGUCUGACCUUAGAGGAAAACCCUUCGCAUUGUAGCUUUUUAUUAUCCCGCAGAAACCCAAAACUGUCUCGGUAAAACUACGAUCCCGGUUUCGUUAACCGUUGGAUUUUCAUGAAAUUUGGAUAUGUUGCUCGAAAUUCAAUUUCGCACACUCUAACCGUUGGGAUUUGCGAGAUAAUAUUCGUAGUGGGAGAAAAAGGAAUCGCAUGGAGACAGUACAAGCGGAGUCUUCAAUCUCUUCUCCGUUUCUCUGACGUUUGAGAAUUCUAUCGGAGCAGUCGGAGGAAAAACUUGAGGAAUCUCAAGGAACCGCUAUAGAUGCCGCUAUCGUUGUCGGAAGACACGUGAGUCCGCUUAGAGGUAAGGGAUGAGUUAUUCACAAUUGGGAAAUAGUGAGAACAUGUAUAGGGAUUCUUAGAGAUAUCAAUUGGAAAAGGUUUUUGAGUGUUUUUGCAAUUUCAUUUUAUCCUUAUAAUUAUUACAGUGAAUUAUAUAUGUUUGACAAACCAAUUGUUGUGAAAUUGAUAUGCUAUUAUGUUGAGCAUGAACCCUAUAAAUUGAGUACUUUUUCUAAUUAAUAUGAAUUGAUGAAAUAAAAUAAGGAGAAAUUUAGAGAGAGAUAUUGAUUUUGUAUUUUCUCUUUUUCUUGUGCAUUGAAAGCUUACUUUGAAAUUUGUGAUUCAAUAUGAUGUAUGCCAGUUUAUAGAUAUAGAGGUAGCUAUUUAUAUUAAUAAUUUAUGUAAAUAAUAUUGUAGAGUGUUGUAGUAUGAUUCCAAAAAUUAUUAAGUGUUGGAGUUUGAGAAUAUUAUGGUUAAAUUUCAUGAACAUGUGUAUGUUGUACCUUAUGAAUAUCAUUGACAAUGUUAUGAGAUGGUUGAUGUGAUGUUAUGAGAUGUUAAAGUGUGAACAUGAUAUUCGAUUGUGAAUAAGUGGAUGUGUUAACACUUGAUGUUACAUUAAUUAUAUCGUGAGCUAUGAAUUAUACAAUAACUCGACCAGUGUUUAUGCGCAGUGUUAAAGAGAAAGUGUAGGUUCCUAGUUAGGAACCAGUGUUAAAUUGUAGCGCAAUUGUGUUAAACAUGUUUGAAACAUGAGUGUGAGGUCGUGGUAUUGUAUAAUUCAUGAGCAGUGCUUAUAAAUGAAAUAUGUGAUGAAUUGUGGAAUGAUAUGUUGCCUUGAGAUUAUAAUAUUGUUAUUGAGAUUGAGUAAAAGUGUAAAGUAGAACAGGUGUUGAAUUGUGAGAUAUGUGAAAACAUGUGAUGGUGGAUUGUAACAUUAUGAGAUGUGAAAUUGUGAAUGAGUUUUGGUUGUGAAUAAGUGUGUGAUUAACUCUUGAUGUGACAUUAUUUGUGUUGUAAGCUGUGAAUUGUACAAUAACCCGACCAGUGUUAUCUUGAGAAAAGUGUAAAUGCGCAGUGUUAAAGAGAAAUUGUAGGUUUCCUAUUUAGGAACCAGUGUUAAAGAGAAAGUGUAGGUUCCUAUUUAGGAACCAGUGUUAAAUUGUAGCGCAAUAUGUUGUACGUGCUUAAGACACGAGUGUGAGGUCGUGGGUAUUGUAUAAUUCACUAGCAGUGUCUGUGUGUUAAAAUGAUUUUAGGGGUUGGACCUGAAUCAGGAGGGAGAGGCCCUGACGGACUCUUCGGAGUGUAGGCCUUGGGGGUCACCGGGUUUGAGUGCUCCUUUAAGCCUAUGCUGAUCCCAUAUGGUUGGAGCAUUCUCGCAAAACAUCGUGACCCUGACUGGUCUCCCUAUGAUCUUACUUAGUGAGAGUGACCUGGCAAACCCAUUAUGUGGUGUGUCUUGUUAUGUACUCCUAAGCGCCCCAGGGUGGUUUUUCACUGACAUGGUACCACAUUGCAUAUAGGCUUGAGUCUUAGCAUAACUGUCUCAUGCGCUUGCUAAUUGUUUAUUAUGAAAUUGAUGUGUUAUUAUAUCUUGAUCAGAGAAUGUGAUUUUUGUGUAAUGUGAUUGAUGAUUGAAAAGUGUGAUUGAUGGAUGAAAAGUGAACUUUGAAUGACAAAGUGGUGGAAUUACGUGAAUUACGUGUAAGUAAAUUUUAUUUAGUGAUAUGUAUAUCUAGUUGUCUUGUUUCUCUAUUAGUUAGGAAUGUGAUAACUCACUCCCCCUGUGUUGUUUGUAUUUGGAUCAUGUGAUGAUCUUGAACUUUGUGUUCGGGGGAGCAGACGACUAGGUGAAUUGCUUUAAGGAACAUUAUGCUGAAGGACGUCGAGACACAACGCUCUGAUAGAAUGUGACAGUGGGACAUAAGUUUUUAUAUUAGUGGCAUGAUGUUAGUCUAUUUUAUUUUAUUUCACUGAUUUAAUAAAAUAUCUCUGUAAAUUUUGAUGGCCUUAUUUUGAGCCAAAUAUGUUUCAAUAAGUUUUAAUUGAUAAUAGUGAAGUGAAUGUGAACCUUUUACCCGUGUGAAUUUGGUUACCAAUAUUUUUAUAUAUUUUGUUUAUUUAUAUAUAUGUCGGGGUAGAGGGUGUCACACACUUCAUCUAGGCAUUAGAGUUGAUGGUCGUGUUGUGGCUGGACCUAGCUUCUUACAUUGGGAUGAGUUAUGCCACGAGUUACUAGGGGAAGUCCCUCCCGAAAAUGCACGUAAAGGAGCCGCACUGAAGCUAACAUGGUUGCUAAACAUGUUGCGCACACCAUUGCCUGAAGAACCAACAACGCACCAACUACAAUGCAGGUGUAGAGCUUACAUAAUGUACAUGAUUGGCGGUGCUUUAAUUCCUGAUAAAUCUGGAAAUAGAGUUCAUUUAAUGUAUUUGAACCUAUUACGUGAUUUGAACAACACAAAAAAAUAUAGUUGGGGUUCGGCUUGCUUAGCAAACCUGUAUAGAGAACUAUGUCGAGUAUCAUCGGAGGUUGGUAAAUCUAUGGGUGGUUGUGUCAUACUAUUGCAGUCAUGGGCUUGGUACCACAUGCCUUUUAUUGCACCAAGAGUCCCACGACCGGAAACAACUUUUCCACUGGCUAAAAGGUUAUUUACAUAUAGCGAAAUGUAAAUUUUUUUAUUUCAAUGACGUGUAUUAUAACAUUACAAUGAAUACUGAUUAUGUAUGUUUUACAUUUUAGAUGGAGUGGUGGUAGAUUAGAAUAUAGGGCCACACCGCAUGGUGACUUAGUCAGAUAUAGGUCUCGUAUAGAUCAUGUGGAGAGCCAUGAGGUAUGAUACUAUCAUGAUCUGCACCUUAAAUAUAAACAUACAUACUAACAUGUUGCCUUGUUGGCAUAUAUUUUAGUUUUCUUGGAUCCCAUAUAGAGGAUUUGAAGAACACCUACCCAGACGUGCAUAUAGAGACAUGGAGAUUUGGUCUGCAUGUACUGCAAUUAUUUGUUUCUCGAUUGUCGAAUGACAUCAAACAAAUCGAGUGAAGCUACAGUUUGGACUACAACAAGAUAUCCCUGUUGAUCCCAUGAAUCUUGAUUUACUUCACCAAAUUGACAUGCGAGGCAAUCAUUACACUGAUUGGAUGGAAUAUCAUGCGGAGUGGAUUAAUAUCUGGAAAAACAAACACAACGAUAUUUUAGCUGGGCAAUGGGUUGAAGGAAUAGUGACACAUACACCAGCGUACAUGGAAUGGUAUAGAAAAAACACUACUUUGUUCUUGUCUGUUGAACAACAACUACAUGAUCCGCUCACAACAAUUACACAAAAUGUUGCAAGGUCAGGUGUUGAACAAACACAUUUUGAAAUUCUACAUCCUUAGUCAAUGUAUUCUACUCCUUCACCUGUUCAUCAAACUUUUGGCCACACUGGCGAGUCAGUCACCGCAACCACCCAUGAAUGGAUGAACGAUUUAUUUGGCGUCGAUUUCAAUACACCAAAUUCAGCGGCAUCAUAUUUAGCUACUUUACAACAGUUCGAUGCACCGCAUUCGUUUGGAGAACAAGGUCAAAGUUCUUCAGCUGCAACAACCAACAUUGAAAAUACUAACAUAGAACAACAACAUGAUCAUGACGUGGAAGAACCAGUCAUACUGGAAAGAAGAAAUCCUCGACGUAAUCGGCGUCCACCACCUUGUGGGACUGGUCAUCGUCUUGGUCAUUGAAGUAUAAAAUGUUGUGAUAAUGGGAUCAAAUAUGUGUAAGUACCCCUGUAACGGCAUCAUCAAAUAUGAUUUGGACCCUUGCAAUUAUGCUUAAGAGCCCAUGUUCUGCAUUUUUUUAAAAUUAUGUCCAACACAUUAAUGAUGUUUGUGACUCAUUUUUUCUAUAGUUUGAACGUCAGAGAAUCCAAAAAAAAUUAUUUAGUGCACCAGUUCCAUCGACUAACACCUCAAAAUACAAGUACAAAAUAAAAAAAAAAACUAUGAUUUGGACCCUUCCAACUAUGCUUAAGAGCCCAUGUUCUGCAUUUUUUUAAAAUUAUGUCCAACACAUUAAUGAUGUUUGUGACUCAUUUUUUCUAUAUUUUGAACGUCAAAGAAUCCAAAAAAAAUUAUUUCGUGCACCAGUUCCAUCGACUAACACCUCAAAAUACAAGUACAAAAUCAAAAAAACUAUGAUUUGGACCCUUGCAACUAUGCUUAAGAGCCCAUGUUCUGCAUUUUUUUAAAAUUAUGUUCAACACAUUAAUGAUGUUUGUGACUCAUUUUUUCUAUAGUUUGAACGUCAAAGAAUCCAAAAAAAAUUAUUUUGUGCACCAGUUCCAUCGACUAACACCUCAAAAUACAAGUACAAAAUAAAAAAAACUAUGAUUUGGACCCUUGCAACUAUGCUUAAGAGCCCAUGUUCUGCAUUUUUUUAAAAUUAUGUCCAACACAUUAAUGAUGUUUGUGACUCAUUUUUUCUAUAGUUUGAAUGUCAAAGAAUCUAAAAAAAAUUAUUUUGUGCACCAGUUCCAUCGACUAACACCUCAAAAUACAAGUACAAAAUCAAAAAAACUAUGAUUUGGACCCUUGCAACUAUGCUUAAGAGCCCAUGUUCUGCAUUUCUUUAAAAUUAUGUCCAACACAUUAAUGAUGUGUGUGCCUCAUAUUUUCUAUAGUUUGAACGUCAGAGAAUCCAAAAAAAAUUAUUUCGUGCACCAGUUCCAUCGACUAACACCUCAAAAUACAAGUACUAAAUCAAAAAAAAACUAUGAUUUGAACACUUUUUCCAUAAUAAUAACGUCAAAAACUUCAAAAAAAAAUAAUAUUCGUGACACACUGCAAUUUUCACAAAUCAAUUUUUUUUUACUCUGAAAUUAUAAUGGACUUCUGCUGCAUCAAUUAUCAGGGAUAAAUCACAGUCGAAAUUGACAACACUCGACAAUUUCUAUAGGUCUCUAAAAAAAUAUCUCACCAGUAAAACUUACAUGACAUGCACUACUCAAUUUUUUUUCACUCUGCUAAUUAUAAUGGACUUAUACUCCAUCAAUUACCAGAGAUAAAUCACAGUUAAAAUUGACAACACUCAGCAAUUUACACACGUCUCUAAAAAAAUAAAUGUCGCACUAGUAAAACAGACAUGACAUGGACAACUCAAUUUUUUUCACUCUGAUAAUUAUAAUGGACUUCUGUUCCAUCAAUUACCAGGGAUAAAUCACAGAUGAAAUUGACAACACUCGGCAAUUUUCACACAUCUCUAAAAAAAUUAAUGUCGCACCAGUAAAACUGACAUGACGUGGACAACUCAGUUUUUUUUCACUCAGUUGUUUUUUUCACUCAACAAUUUGCACAUUAUGGACCCUUGUAAAUAUGCUUAAGUGUUCAUUUACUCGUUCAUCUAAAUGCACAGUUAACUAGUGACUCACUCAAUUAUAACCAAAUUCUAUAAAUACCACUACAGCUAAAGACAUUCGUAACAAUUUCAAAUUUUCAUCUCAAUCCCUACCACAAUAUGUCACCUAACUGCAUAUGUUUGUGUUUACUACGACGGCCAAAUUUGCAAUACUAAUGAGGGCACCACCUUCGUUAGUAACAACACAAAAACUUUCAUGGUCGACAAGGUCAUAACCUUUACACAAUUGCUUGAACUUGUUCACCAAAAACUAAACAUUGACCCAAAACAACAUAUCCAACAUCUCCAUUUUCGGUGCCCUAUAUUUGAGUCAGGACAACGUUAUAUGUACACAUCUUUUAUUCUGCGAGAUGAUGCUGAUGUUCGACAAAUGUUCAACAUUUUUUACAAUAACCCAUCACUACCAUUUGUGGAGUUAUUUGCCAUAAUCUGUCACAAUAAUGACCCACCAGGCAACCAACAUGGCUCAACCUCUAAUCUUGAGGACUUAGGUGAAUACGAGACUUGUUGGCUCAAAAACCAUGAUAGUGAUACGGGCUCCUCUUCCGGGCCCGAAGGAAGUAACCUGUCUCCAUCCCACGAACCUAUAUUUCUUCUUUGAGAUUUUCAUGUAAUGUCUUAUGUCUGUCUUCAGUUAUCACUUUACGUAUUGAAAUAAUUUUUCCUUUAAAUUUAAAUUAGCAAUUUUCAGUUUACCCACUUUUACUGCAGUAGUUGACAUGGUAACAUAACUGUCAAAAUUCACAAUACUUUGUCAUUUACACUACACUGUUUUUAAAAAUUCAAUGUCUCAUCGACAAAACUGACAUGAAAUGGACAACUCAUAAUCUCUUUAUUCACUCUAAAAAUAACUAUGGACGUUUGCUGCUUUAAUUACAAGGAAAAAAUCACAAUCCAAAUUGACAAUACUCUGCAAUUUGCAUACGUCUCUAAGAAUUAAAUGUCUCACCUGCAAAACUGUCAUGAAAUGGACAACUCAUAAUCUCUUUAUUCACUCUGAAAAUAACUAUGGACGUUUGCUGCUUUAAUUACAAGGGAAAAAUCACAAUCCAAAUUGACAAUACUCUGCAAUUUGCAAACGUCUCUAAAAAUUAAAUGUCUCACCUGCAAAACUGUCAUGAAAUGGACAGCCCGUCAUCUCUUUAUUCACUCUGAAAUUCAUCAUGAACGUCUGUUGCUUUAAUUACAUGGGAAAAAUCACAGUCCAAAAUAACAACACUCUGCAUUAUGAGCUGUCCAUUUCAUGUCAGUUUUACAAGUGAUACAUUUAAUUUUUAGAGACGUGUGCAAAACUGACAUGAGAUGGACAACUCAUAAUCUCUUUGUUCACUCUGAAAUUAUAAUGGACGUCUGCUACAUCACUUACUAGGGAAAAAGAAACAUUGGAUUCCAAUACACAUCAACGUGACAGAAUACUCAUACAACUAUAAAUAACACAACACAGACACAAUACAAACACACAAUCUCACACAACAUAAUUUCACAAACCAAAUUCAAUCUUAUUACUAUGUCAUUUUGGGAGAAACAAGCAGUCAGACCAUUACUAACUCCAGAUUAGCUUUCAUUUUUCCAAAUGGAUCAAUCAGUUACAACCAAACUGGUGUUUAUUUUCAAAGUCUUAUUCCAACACCAAUGCGAGUUCCUAACAACUGUUCUUUUGAUACACUCAAGCGUAGAAUGCACAACACCCUUCAACUAACCAACGAUCAAUUACUGGAUGAAAUCUACUACCGACAGCCAUUCAUAGAUGCAGGUCAACAAUAUUUUUUUCAAUCUUUACAAUUGAAAAAUGAUGAUGAUGUUUACACAAUGUUAAUGUGCAAUGACCAAUACUCGUGUGUUGGCCCUAUAGAAUUAUUAUGUACCAUUAUUAGAACACCGGAUGCUAUACUCAAUCUGCUUCAAUCAAUCAUCACUCCUACUCAUGAUGCAAUUAUGUAUUACAACGGGAAGUGGAACAUACCACGUCAAGGUGAGUUUUUGGGUUACUCCUUUACUGGAACUAAUCCAAUAAGAUUUGACAUUCCUUCGGGAUGUGGCAUGGAGAAACUCAAGGAUUUAAUCAAACAAGUUGCACCUACAGGGGUUCCCCCUAAUGGAAUUCACGGAUCACAAUUGGUUAGACGAUUAUUCUUUCGACAACCAGGUCAUUCUAAGUAUUCCGAAAAUUUGAUUGAAUAUGACAUAACAGAAUUGAAAAAUGAUGAAGACGUGCUAAAAGUGUUAGCACAAUCCAACUAUUGGAAACGAUUCUGCACAAUAGAAAUUUUGGCUAUUUUUAGCAAACCAGUAAUCUAAAUAGAAGAAGACAUGUAUUCUGCACAACAUAUCUCAUAUCCUCAUUAGUUUUGUUAUGUUUGCAUUGUAAGUGUAAUUUUUAAUAUGUUUCAUUAUUGUCGAGUAUCAUUUCAAUGACUGUAAUUUGAGUAUUUUGUCUAUGACUGAUUUGUCAUAUAUUUUUUUGUGGUGUUUUUUUACUGUAUUUUAAUACUACUAACUAAUUUUAUUAUUUUUUAAUUACAAGAACAUACAAAAAUUAACAAAACAUAAAUUUAACUACACAAUUACAUAUAACAUAAAUAAAAAAUUAUACUCUAAUUUUAUCCAAUUUUAUAUUUUUCUUUAUAUGUAUAUUUCUCUUUACAAAAAAUUAUAAAAUAAUAUUACAUAAAUUAAUUCAAUAAAUAAAUAAUUUUCAAAUCAAUUAAAAAUAAUUUUAUAUAAUAUAAUUAAAUUAAAAAUUUUAAAAUUCAGAUUAUUAUACAAAAUAAAUAUUUACUAAAAUAAAUAUAUUAUUAUACAAAAUUCAGAUUUUAAAACAUAUAUUCACCAAAAAAUAUCUUAAAUAAUUUAAAUAAUAUAACAAAAACACUUAAAUUUAAUAAUAUCAUUUUCUUAAUAACAAAAUUAAAUUAUAAAAUAAUAUUACAUAAAUUAAUUUAAUAAAUAAAUAAUUUUCAAAUUAUUUAAAAAUAAUUUUAUAUAAUAUAAUAUUUAAUUUUAACAAUAUAAAAACUUUUUUAUAUAAAAAAAAUAGAAGAACGGAAGUCGGGGUGUGAAAACCAGACUCCCGUGAAGUGGUCAAAACAGGUGUACUUUGGGAAUAAAAGGUCAAAGUAGUGUAUUUUAGGAAAAGAAUGGAGAGAGAAUAUGUAAUUUGGUAAAAAAACCCAUCUUCUUGCCUAUAAAUAGACCCAAAUAAUGUGAGGUUCCAUACUCCAAAAUCCACAUCUAGCAGCAAAUUAUGGAAUCCCAUGAUGAAGAGCAUGCUGCCAAACUACUUAGAGCUCAAACCCACAUAUGGAAUCACAUAUUUAGCUUCAUAAACUCCAUGUCCCUUAAAUGUGUGGUUGACUUAGGCAUACCAGAUAUCAUACACAACUAUGGCCAACCCAUGCCACUCUCAAACCUCAUUGCUUCACUACCAAUCCACCCAUCCAAAACUUGCUUCGUCCAUCGCUUGAUGCGAAUCAUGAUCCAUUCUGGCUUCUUCUCUUUACAAAAUCAUGACUUGGAGAAUGAGCUAGAAGCCAAGUAUGUGCUAACCGAUGCAUCUGUACUACUGCUUAAGAACCAUCCGAUGAGUGUGACACCUUUCUUGCAUGCCAUNNNNNNNNNNNNNNNNNNNNNNNNNNNNNNNNNNNNNNNNNNNNNNNNNNNNNNNNNNNNNNNNNNNNNNNNNNNNNNNNNNNNNNNNNNNNNNNNNNNNNNNNNNNNNNNNNNNNNNNNNNNNNNNNNUCACUUGUUCAAUGAUGCCAUGGCAAGUGAUGCUCGAUUUGUCACUAGUUUGGUGAUUGAGAAAUGUAAGGGAGUGUUCAUGGGAUGGAGUCAUUGGUUGAUGUUGGGGGAGGCACAGGGACCAUGGCAAAAGCCAUUGCUAAAUCAUUCCCUCGGGUGGAAUGCAUUGUGUUUGAUCUACCACAUGUUGUUUCUGGCUUGAAAGGAAGUGAGAACCUUAAAUAUGUUGCAGGGGACAUGUUUGAGGCAAUUCCUCCAGCUGAUGCCAUUUUGUUAAAGGUAAAUCACUAUUCACAUUCAGAAUACAAUUUUACAUUCAUACCAUUAACACCCAGUUUUUAUACUUGAGUGAUGUCAAAUUUUAAAGAAUUAAAGCAAAUAAUUGAUCGAUUGGAAAAAAAAAUGAACGAUUUUAUGAUCAUUGAUCACUUGAAAUAACUUCAAAUAUAUAUAUGUAUAUUGUUCACUAAGCUAGUAAGCUAGCACCAGCUAGUAGUCCAACUACAUAUCUGCCACUAUCAUACCAAAUCAGACCAACUAAGUGGUCUAUAUGGCUUGUAAUAAUUAGUACUAGUUUACUAAGUGGGUACGUAAAGUAACUAGCAUAUGAUUAUUUGAAAAGUAAAUCUCUGCUCAUAUUCUAGAAAAAAUAGUUAUAGAUCUCUUCAAAUUUGACUUUUCUUUUUUCUGAAGUAUUGACUAUAUGUUGCGGUUAAAAACAUUACAUGAUGUGCCAAUUCAUUCUACCAAGCUUAAUAUGAAUGCAAGUCAAUAUUUUAUGAUUCUGAUCGGUGUGUUACUUUGAAUGACAAAGCAGUGGAUAUUGCAUGACUGGAAUGAUGAGGAGUGUGUGGACAUAUUGAAGAAAUGCAAAGAGGCCAUAACGAGGAAAGGCAAAGAAGGGAAGGUGAUCAUCAUAGACAUGGUGGUGGAGAAUGAGAAGAGAGAUGAUGAAUCAGUUGAAACACAGCUCUUCUUUGAUAUGCUGAUGAUGGUGUUGGUCACUGGAAAAGAGAGAAGCAAGAAAGAAUGGGCUAAGUUGAUUUCCUCUGCUGGUUAUAACAACUACAAGAUAACUCCAGUCUUGGGCUUAAGGUCUCUCAUUGAGAUCUAUCCAUAGUAAGUUAAUGAGAUGUGCCAGCACUCUAUCAUUCAUAUAUGUUAGGGCUAUAAUUUUUCUGUUUCGAUUCAUGAGUGAAUGUUGGAUAAGUAACAAUAGCAAUAGACUGAACUCUCUUCAUCAUAGUUGUGUUGUUGGAACAGUACUGUCAAGAAAGGAAAAAAAAAAAAUCUGAGGAUAAGUAUAGUUUGCGUGGUAUAUAUAGCAGGUGAAGAAAAAAAGGAACAUGUGGUUAAAGAGCACAGUGAGUUUGGCAAUUACUUUUUUUUUUGGUAACUGAAUUUGCCUUGUAUUAGAUUUGUGAAGAACUAAGUUUGUGAGAGUUGUUAUUGAAUAAGAUUGUUUCUAAAGGUUUGAUAAAGGUAUAAUGGUUUAUCUAAAUACAUUUCAAUAUUUUAGUAUUUUAAUUAAGUUCAUAAUGAUGUGAUUAUGUGUCAUGUCAAUAAAGAUAUAUCAUUAAUCUCAUCUUAAUAAUAGUGUCAUGCAAACAAUGAAAUUAAUGAGACUAAAAUAAAAUAAAAAGAAUUUUAUGGAGACAUAAAAUAGAUAAAAUAAAUAUUACAGAAACUAAAAAUGAAAAGAAAUUAUAAGAAUAAAAAAAAAAGAAUUUGCUUAUAUCUUCAAAGGUCACUUUAAGUUGUUUAUAUUUUUUAUUUUAAAUAUUGGGUUGCACCAAAGAAAUGAUCAUUAUAUUCAUGUUAAGAAUAAAUAAAGCAAAACAUAAUGACCAAAAAAUAUAGCAAAUUAAAUCCUAUAAUUUUUCUUUUGGAUGAAGUAUGAAUAUAAAAAGUAAGAGACAACAAAGUUUAAGACAUCACGAAAGAAUUUUUCAUAAAUUUCUCUAUAAUGACUUUAGGAUAAAAAUCUCAUCUUUGACUUCAAAACACUUGAACACAUAUCCUAAUUAGCUAAAGUAUCAAUCACAUGAUUAGAAUCAUGUGACAUAAUUGCAACUAACAAAGUUCAAAUGUUUCUUACUAAUGCUAUUAAAUAAAAUAAGAUUAAUUGAAAUUUAUUUGUAUUUGAAGUCAAGACUGUUAACUCGUUGACAAGUGUACCAAAUUUGUCACAAGUAAUAAAGUACUCGGAAGUCCGAGUGUCGAAUCCACUGGGAUUUUGUGUUGUACUUAUCUUGGAUACUUUUCAAUUUAUAAGGAAUUAAAAGAAAAAGUAGAAGGCAAUAAUAGUAAAUUAUAAAUAGAAAGCAAAAGAAUUAAAAGCAAAAUAAUUAAAGAGAGAAUUCAAUGGAAUGCGAAUGUUAGGACCUAGCAUGCCUUGUUUGCCUAGGAUGUAUGAAUUUAUGAUUUUUCUUCACCAAUUUAGGUGAUUCUAUUCUACCCACAUCUGUUCAUUUACUUGCCCCUGAUUCCUCACGAUGACAAGUCUAUUUUAUUCAUUUAUCUCCCAAAUUCCUUUGUAAAAACUCAACAAAUAAAAUGCAUGAAGUAUGAAUUCUAGAUGUUUGCAAGAAUGCAUGGGCAUAAAAUUAUCAUUCUAUUCCUAGCAAUGACUUUCUUAUGAAAUCCUUUCUUUUUGUUCUAUUAGAAGUUACCUUCUUCCGAGUGUCUAACCCCUAAAACUAAUGCAUGCAUACCUUCUUUAAAUCUUGUUUAGAAGUUACCAUCUCCCGAGUGUCUAACCCCUAAAAGAAUAUAAAGAUGAAUAAUGCAAGAUAAAAACAGAAAAGAUAAUAGAAUAGAAAAACCUGGAAAAUAAUCCUGUUGCAUUGAUAAAUAUGAAGUACAUCAUACAUUUCUUUGACUUUUUAGGCCUACCAGGCCCUAACUAGGAGUUUAGUCACUCAUGGCCAUUGAGGGCUUUACAAUGAGAAGGGGGUGAAAAAAAGAUGAUAAAAAAAAGGAAGAGAGUAAAAAUUCUCAGGCUUUGAGUAGUAGUGAGAGUGCUCUCUGAGACUUGGUGUUUUCCUCCUUGGCCUGACUCUCUAUCUAUAGCUGAUGAAGUGGACUUGGGCUUGAUUCAAACAAUCUUCCUUAUCUAUCUUUUUUAUAUCUUUUGGAUCUUGUAAAUCUUAUCUUUCCUAUAUCUGCAAGUCAUAGAUAAGAAAAUAUCAAUUCAUAUCUUUUAAGUCAAAAUUAACUGCUAAAUAAAUAUCUUUAAAGAUAUUUUCAAAUUAGCUCAUAUUUAACAGUUAUCAAUAUCUUUUAGAUCUUGUAAUCUUAUCUUUUUAUAUCUGCAAGCCAUAAAUAAUAAAAGUAUCAAUUCUUAUCAUUUAAGCAAAAAAAUAACUGUUAAAUAAAUAUUUUCAAAGAUAUUUUCAAUAUAUUUUUAUUAUGAAAUAACUCAUAUUUAACAGUUAUCAAAGACACAGAUAUAUUUUUUUGCUUGCAUUCGAAAUCAAAGAAAGCAAGUACAUCUAAGCGCUUAAUGAAGAUGGUUGGAGGUAGACAGAGGUGAAUUCACAUAUAAGCUUGUUUCCCCAGUAUGAAUUUUUAUACUUGAAUAUAAUACUCCUAUUCAUGUGGGCAUAGAUGCAAAAGUUUGAGAUGAGGAAGGUCACAAGCUUGGAUAGGUUUGGAAGAUAAAUGGUUUGUGAGAAUAUAUAAAUGCUAAAUUAAAACAUAUUAUUGGAAGACAGUUGAAGGAUUGACGUCGGAGUAGUUAGUGCAGUGGAAAUAAAUGCCAUUAUUGGAGGACGGUUGAAAGAUUAGCGUAGGUGGGGCUAGUUAUUUCGGUGGGAAUAAAUGCUAAAUUAAAACAUAUUAUUGGUGGAAAUUUGGGAUGGAAAUGAGUCACGCCGCUUGUCAAGGGCCUUUUGCUCGACCUAUUUAAGACUUGGUUUGACUUGACUUGUUUAUUAUAAAGGUCAAACUUAAGCUUUUUAAAAAGCUAUUUUAGAUAAAAAUGACAAAGGCAAAUUAUAAAAAAUAAACUUGUUAAGCUUGACAAACCGGCUUGUUAAGCUUGACAAACUGGCUUAUUUAAGUAAUAAUAAUAAUAAUAACUAUUAUCUAUACCAUUUUUAUGGAAUUAUGAAUGACAGGCUGAAGCGACAUAAGGUGCUUAGAGAAUUCACUUGCAUGUGAAAAAUUUUCAAAAGAAAAGAUUCAAGUUAAAGGAUCAAGAAAUCAGAUGAAUACUUCAAAUGAAAAGAAUGUUUUGUAAAAUAUUGUCAGACAAUGUAAAUAGUUUUAUUUGACUAUAGUAAUAUAAAUCAUCGUUAAUCCAAUAUAUUGUUUAAUAUUAUGCUCUCUUUUUUUUCAUUUUCUUGUGAUAUACUUUGUGUUUUAACAACUUGAAUUUAAUAUGAUUUUGUUUAUCAAUUAUUUUUGGAUUUGUACAUUACUUAUAUGAAAUUUUAUAAGUUUUUUUUAGUUAAUAUUUCACUAGGUUUUAGAACAAUUAAUUGGUCAAAGACGUCUUUAAGCAGAUUUUUAAAUAGGCUCGUAGGUAAAAUCAGACUUCAAUGUGAGUCGAGCCGAGCCUUAAAAAAAAUUCUAUGAUAGGUAAUGAGACAAGCUCAAGUCUUGCUUAUUCAACUCAAGCCGAGCUCAAGCCUAAUAAAGCUUGAUUUGCCUUGACUCAUUUUCACUCCUAGUGAGAAUAGGGGUCAACUUCUAAUUUUACUAUAGGCACUUUAAUUAAUAGGGGUGGGUAAGCGGGUUGGCCCGCCCCGCGUAAGGCUAGUCCGCAUAAGCCCGCAUUGGCAGUGGAUCGGGUCAGCCCGCCCCGCAUUCUUACACUGACCAAAUAUAUUGGUCCGCCCCCGCCCCGCGAACCCCGCGAGUCAAACGGGCCAGUCCGUGGGCCUUGUUUUAAAAGAAUUUCAAUUUCAAUAAAAAUGCAACACAAUCAAAUUAAGUUCAAUACAAAUGUAAAUAAAAUCUUAACAAUUAGUCAAUUACAUCAAUAAAAUAAAUAAUGUCUUACAAAAGAAAAUCCAAGCAAUAAAUUUAAAAUAUGAAACUUAAACAUCUCUAACAACAAAUGAUUCUACAUUUAAAGUAAUAUAAUCCUAAUGCGGGCAAUUCGCAGACCCCGUGGGCCAAACUCGCAUAUUCUGCGGGUUAAGUGGGGCGGAUCCAAAAAUAUGACAUCAUCAUGGACCGUUUAAAAAAAUUGAUCCAUUAUCCGCGCGAACCACGGAACCCGGGGGCCAGUCGAUGGACCUGGGCCUGUUUACCCACCCUUAUUAAUUAGCAAGCUAUUAUAUUAUAUUGGUGGAUUAGGACAUCUAUAGUCCAAGGAAUAUAAAAUUUACCUGACUCUUUGUAACUAUGCAUGUGAUCUAUCUAAUGAAUUCCACCUCCUUUUUAUACAUCAUACACAUGCAAUGUUAAUCACUAUGAUAUAAAACAUUUAAAUUAUAUAUUAUUAUUACUAUGAUUUUUUUAAGAUAGAUAUAUUCAAAAUUAAAAAAAUUAUUAUAUUGGAUGGAUAAUGAUUUAAUAAUAUAGUAAAAUUAUUUUAUACUUGUUGGUGUAUAAUCAUUUUUUCUACAAAUAAAUAAAAAUAAUUAUAAUAUAAAACAUUAAUAUACCAUAAAAAUUAAAUAUUAAAAAAGAAAUGUAAAUAAUCAAUUAAAAUAUAUAAAAUUUAUAACAAUUUAUUCAUAUUUGAGAAAUUUUAAAAAUAUGUAUAUAAAUUAUUUUUCAAAUAAAUAUAUUAUUAAUAUACAUAAUUCAAACUAUGAAAAAUAUAUUAUUGAAAUAUUUAAAACACCAAAUACAUUUUAAAAAUUUGAUUUAAAUAAUAUUAAAAUUAAAACAUAACAAUCUCAAAAAAUAUUUUUAUAAAUCAGUCUUUUGUUGGAGAUAAGAAAAUACACUUUAGUUUUUAAUUCUAAAUAUUUAAUAUUGUAUUUGUUUUUUUCCAUACUGUAAUAUAUAAAAAAAUGUAUAAUCUAUUUAAGUUUUAGUAUUUUAUAGUGAAUUUCAAUUUGUUAGUUCUUUACAUAUUAAUUUUCUUUUUCAAAUUUUGUAGUAUCAUAUAUUACCUUUUUAAUAUUUGAAAGACUUGUAAUAUCAAAUAAAAUAAUAUUGCAAUUAAUGUAUAUAUUAACAUAUAAAAAUGAAUAGCAUAGAUAAAAAAAAAAUCAAGUAUGAUCGACAAUGAAAGUUUAAUCAUUGAAAAAGUUGCAUGAUGUCUUCUCGGGUACACCACUCUACUUCUAUAAGUGGUGCAUUGAUUUACUAGAUAAGUUUUUUUUAAGGAAUCCAUUAAAUGUAUUUUUCUCCAAUCCUGAUAUUAUUACAAAGUUGUUUUCACGUGGUGAUUAAUUUUCAAGAUGAUGAGCACAUACAAGAUAAUUUUCAGGAUCAAGAGCACAUACAAAAUAGCUUAUAAGAUUUUAAGUUACACUACAUACAAUUUGGUCAAAUUUUCUUAUAUUGUAAAAAGUUAUAGAUAAAAGUGAUGAUAAUUGUUGUCACCACUACUGAAGAAAGAAGAUUCUAAAUUGGUUAUUUGGAGCAUUCUACAUUGGUUGAGGAUCGUCGUAGUAGACCACAUCGUCAAAAGGGAAACCUAAUCUAGGACGGUCGCAAAGACUAUCUUAAAAAAUGUGUGUUUCUAAUUGCAGUCCCAAACUUUCCAAAAUUUAAUAUAGUGGUCAAAAUCAUGAUCAUUAACUAUUUUUUAAAACGUAGCUACAGAGAAUAAAGUUGUUGCUUAAACAUCUUCACGCCUAUAAAUAGACCCAAAUAAUGUGAGGUUCCAUACUUCAAAAUCCAAAUCUAGCGAUUAAUUAUAGUUUAGGCAGCAAAUUAUGGAUUCCCAUGAUGAGGAGCAUGCUGCCAAACUACUUAGAGCUCAAACCCACAUAUGGAAUCACAUAUUUAGCUUCAUAAACUCCAUGUCCCUUAAAUGUGUGGUUGACUUAGGCAUACCAGAUAUCAUACACAACUAUGGCCAACCCAUGCCACUCUCAAACCUCAUUGCUUCACUACCAAUCCACCCAUCCAAAACUUGCUUUGUCCAUCGCUUGAUGCGAAUCAUGAUCCAUUCUGGCUUCUUCUCUCAACAAAAUCAUGACAUGGAGAAUCAGCUAGAUGCCAAGUAUGUGCUUACCGAUGCAUCUGUACUAUUGCUUAAGAACCAUCCGAUGAGUGUGACACCUUUCUUGCAUGCCAUGCUUGAUCCAAUUUUGACAAAUCCAUGGAAUCAAUUUUCUACUUGGUUCAAAAAUGGUGACACUACACCAUUUGAAACGGCACAUGGGAUGAUGCUUUGGGAUUACGCUGGCGCUGAUCCAAAACAUAAUAACUUGUUCAAUGAUGCCAUGGCAAGUGAUGCUCGAUUUGUCACUAGUUUGGUGAUUGAGAAAUGUAAGGGAAUGUUCAUGGGAUUGGAGUCAUUGGUUGAUGUUGGGGGAGGCACAGGGACCAUGGCAAAAGCCAUUGCUAAAUCAUUCCCUCGGGUGGAAUGCAUUGUGUUUGAUCUACCACAUGUUGUUUCUGGCUUGAAAGGAAGUGAAAACCUUAAAUAUGUUGCAGGGGACAUGUUUGAGGCAAUUCCUCCAGCUGAUGCCAUUCUGUUAAAGGUAAAUCACUAUUCACAUUCAGAAUACAAUUUUACAUUCAUACCAUUAACACCCAGUUUUUAUACUUGAGUGAUGUCAAAUUUUAAAGAAUUAAAGCAAAUAAUUGAUCGAUUGGAAAAAAAAAAUGAACGAUUUUAUCAUCAUUGAUCACUUGAAAUAACUUCAAAUUUUUAUAUGUAUAUUGAUCACUAAGCUAGUAAGCUAGCACCAGCUAGUAGUCCAACUACAUAUCUGCCACUAUCAUACCAAAUCAGACCAACUGAGUGGUCUAUAUGGCUUGUAAUAAUUAGGACUAGUUUAUUAAGUGGUUACGUAAAGUAGCUAGCAUAUGAUUAUUUGACAAGUAAAUCUCUGCUCAUAUUCUAGAAAAAAUAGUUAUAGAUCUCUUCAAAUUUGACUUUUCUUUUUUCUGAAGUAUUGACUAUAUGUUGCGGUUAAAAACGUUACAUGAUGUGCCAAUUCAUUCUACCAAGCUUAAUAUGAAUGCAAGUCAAUAUUUAUUUCUUUUGUAUGAUUCUUAUCGGUGUGUUACUUUGAAUGACAAAGCAGUGGAUAUUGCAUGACUGGAAUGAUAAGGAGUGUGUGGACAUAUUGAAGAAAUGCAAAGAGGCGAUAACGAGGAAAGGCAAAGAAGGGAAGGUGAUCAUCAUAGACAUGGUGGUGGAGAAUGAGAAGAGAGAUGAUGAAUCAGUUGAAACACAGCUCUUCUUUGAUAUGCUGAUGAUGGUGUUGGUCACUGGAAAAGAGAGAAGCAAGAAAGAAUGGGCUAAGUUGAUUUCCUCUGCUGGUUAUAACAACUACAAGAUAACUCCAGUCUUGGGCUUAAGGUCUCUCAUUGAGAUCUAUCCAUAGUAAGUUAAUGAGAUGUGCCAGCACUCUAUCAUUCAUAUAUGUAAGGGCUAUAAUUUUUCUGUUUCGAUUCAUGAGUGAAUGUUGGAUAAGUAACAAUAGCAAUAGACUGAACUCUCUUCAUCAUAGUUGUGUUGUUGGAACAGUACUGUCAAGAAAGGAAAAAAAAAAAAUCUGAGGAUAAGUAUAGUUUGCGUGGUAUAUAUAGCAGGUGAAGAAGAAAAGGAACACGUGGUUAAAGAGCACAGUGAGAGUUUAGCAAUUACUCUUUUUUUGGUAACUGAAUUUGCCUUGUAUUAGAUUUGUGAAGAACUAAGUUUGUGAGAGUUGUAUUAAAUAAAAUAAGAUUAAUUGAAAUUUAUUUGUAAUUGAAGUCAAGACACAUAUAUAUUUUUUUGCUUGCAUUCGAAAUCAAAGAAAGCAAGUUCAUCUAAAAACUUAAUGAAAAUGGUUGGAGGUAGACAGCGGUGAAUGCACAUAUAAGCUUGUUCUCACAGUAUAAAUUUUUAUACUUGAAUAUAAUACUCCUAUUCAUGUGGGCAUAGAUGCAAAAGUUUGAGAUGAGGAAGGUCACAAGCUUGGAUAGGUUUGGAAGAUAAAUGAUUUGUGAUAAUAUAUAAAUGCUAAAUUAAAACGUAUUAUUGGAAGACAGUUGAAGGAUUGGCGUUAGUGUAGUUAGUGCGGUGGGAAUAAAUGCUAUUAUUGGAGGACGGUCAUACGUGGAGCUAGUUAUUGCGGUGGGAAUAAAUGCUAAAUUAAAACAUAUUAUUGGAAGGCAGAUUGACUCGUAGAAGUUAUUGUUGUGGGAAUAAAUGCUAUUAUUGGAGGACGGUUGAAGAAUUGGUGUACGUGGGGUUAGUUAUUGCGGUGGGAAUAAAUGCUAAAUUAAAAUAUAUUAUUGAUAGACACUUGAAGGAUUGGCGUCAGAGUAGUUAGUGCGGUGGGAAUAAAUGUUAUUAUUCUCAUCUUAAUAAUAAUGUCAUGCCAACAAUGAAAUUAAUGAGACUAAAAUAAAAUAAAAAGAAUUUUAUGGAGACAUAAAAUACAUAAAAUAAAUAUUAUAGAAACUAAAAAUGAAAAGAAAUUAUAAGAAUUAAAAAAAAGAAUUUGCUUAUGUCUUCAAAGGUCACUUAAAGUUGUUUAUAUUUUUUAUUUUAAAUAUUGGGUUGCACAAAAGAAAUGAUCAUUGUAUUCAUGUUAAGAAUAAAUAAAGCAAAAUAUAAUGACCAAAAAUUAUACCAAAUUAAAUUCUAUUUUUUUUUCUUUUGGAUGAAGUAUGAAUAUAAAAUUAAGAGACAACAAAGUUUAAGACAUCACGAAAGAGUUUUUCAUAAAUUUCUCUAUAAUGACUUCAAGAUAAAAAUCUCAUCUUUGGCUUCAAAACACUUGAACACAUAUCCUAAUUAGCUAAAGUAUCAAUCAUAUGAUUAGAAUCAUGUGACAUAAUUGCAAGUAACAAAGUUCAAAUAUUUCUCACUAACGCUAUCAAAUAAAAUAAGAUUAAUUGAAAUUAAUUUGUAUUUGAAGUCAAGACACAUAUAUUUUUUUGCUUGCAUUCGAAAUUAAAGAAAGCAAGUUCAUCUAAACGCUUAAUGAAAAUGGUUGGAGGUAGACAGAGGUGAAUGCACAUAUAAGCUUGUUCUCACAGGAUAAAUUUUUAUACUUGAAUAUAAUACUCCUAUUCAUGUGGGCAUAGAUGCAAAAGUUUGAGAUGAGGAAGGUCACAAGCUUGGAUAGGUUUGGAAGAUAAAUGGUUUGUGAGAAUAUAUAAAUGUUAAAUUAAAACAUAUUAUUGAAAGACAGUUGAAGGAUUGGCAUCAGAGUAGUUAGUGCGGAGGGAAUAAAUGCUAUUAUUGGAGGACGGUUGAAGGAUUAGCGUAUGUGGGGCUAGUUAUUUCGGUGGGAAUAAAUGUUAAAUUAAAACAUAUUAUUGGUGGAAAUUUGGGAUGGAAAUGAGCCACGCCGCUUGUCAAGGGUCUUUGGCUCGACAUAUUUAAGACUUGGCUUGGCUUGGCUUGUUUACUAUAAAGGCCAAGCUCAAGCUUUGUAAAAAACUUUUUUAGAUGAAAAGGCCAAAGGCAAAUUAUAAAAAAAACUUCUUAAGCUUGACAAACCGUCUUGUUAAGCUUGACAAACUGGCUUGUUUAAGUAAUAAUAAUAAUAUUAAUAAUAAUAAAAACUAUUAUCUAUAUCAUUUUUAUAGAAUUAUGAAUGACAGGAUGAAGUGACAUAAAGUGCUUACAGAAUUCACUUGCAUGUGAAAAAAUUUUAAAAAGAAAAAGACUCAACUUAAAAGGAUAAAGCAAUCAGAUGAAUACUUCCAAAGAAAAGAAUGUUUUCUAAAAACAUUUUCAGACAAUUUAUAUAUUUUUAUUUGAUUAAAUUAAUAUAAAUCAUCUCUAAUCCAUAUAUUUUUUUAAUAUUAUGCUCUCUUUUUUUUCAUUUUCUUUUGAUAUACUUUGUGUUUUAACAACUUGAAUUCAAUAUGAUUUUGUUUAUCAAUUAUUUUUGGAUUUGUACAUUACUUAUACGAAAUUUUAUAAGUUUCUUUUUUUAGUUAAUAUUUCACUAGGUUUUAGAACAAUUAAUUGUUCAAAGACGUCUUUAAGCAGAUUUUUAAAUAGGCACGUAGGCGAAAUCAGGCUUUUAUGUGAGCCGAGCCGAGCCUUUAAAAAAAUCCUAUGACAGGUAAUGAGCCAAGCUCAAACCUUGCGUAUUCAACUCAAUUCGAGCUCAAGCCUAGUAAAGCUUAAUUUGGCUUAACUCAUUUUCACCCCUAAUGGGAAUAGGGGUCAACUUCUAAUUUUACUACAGGCACUUUAAUUAAUAGGGGUGGGUAAGUGGGCUGGCUCGCCCCGCAUAAGCCCGCAUUGGCAGUGGACCGGGCCAGCUCACCCCGCAUUCUUACACGGACCAAAUAAAUUGGUCCGCCCCCGCCCCGCGGAUCCUGCGGGUCAAACGGGCCAGUCCGUGGCCCUAGUUUUAAUAGAAUUUCAAUUUUAAUAAAAAAUACAACACAAUCAAAUUAAGUUCAAUAUAAAUGUAAAUAAAAUCUUAACAAUUAGUCAAUUACAUAAAUAAAAUAAAUAAUGCCUUAGCAAAAGAAAAUCCAAACAAUAAAUUUAAAAUAUGAAACUUAAACAUCUCUAACAACAAAUGAUUCCAUAUUUGAAGCAAUAAAAUCUUAAUGCGGGCAACCAGAAGAUCCCGCGGGCCAAACUCACAUAGUCUGCGGGUUAAGUGGGGCAGACCCAAAAAUAUGACAUAAUCAUGGACCAUUUUAAAAAAUUGAUCCGUUACCCAAGCGAAUCGCAAGCCCCGCGGACCAGUCAAUGAACCUAGGCCCGUUUACCCACUCCUAUUAAUUAGCAUGCUAUUAUAUUAUAUUGGUGGAUUAGGACAUCUAUAGUCCCAGGAAUAUAAAAUUUACCUGACUCUUUGUAACUAUUAGGGGUGGGUAAACGGGCUCAGGUCCAUGUAUUGACCCACGGGGCCCGCGGUCUAUGAUUAUGUCAUAUUUUUUGGCCCACCUCGCUUAACCCGUGGACUAUGCGGGUUUGGCCUGCGGGGUCCGCGGGUUGUCCGUAGCCCGCAUUAGGUUUAAUUUGUGUGAUCCUGACCCAAUUAUAUUAGGUUUGAUUUUCUCUUUUUCAAUUUAAACUUUUCUUUUAAAAUAACAGAUAAAGAAAUAUAUUAGAUAUGAUAAAGAUAUAAAGAUAAAAAUAAAAGAUUUAAAUUGAAAGAUGAUAAAGAUAAAAAAAGGAUAAGAUAACAAAAAUAAAAGAUUAAGAUAAAAAAGAUAAGUGAUAACUUGCUAAAAAUCUUUUUUUUAUAUUUUAUCAAUCUUUUUCUCUUUUAAUCUAUCAUUUUCAUAUCUGAAAGUCAUAAAUAAUAAAAAUAUCAAUUCUUAUCAUUUAAGCCAAAAAUAAUUGUUAAAUAAAUAUUUUUAAAGAUAUUUCAAUAUAUGUUUAUUGUAAAAAAUAACUCAUAUCAUAUUUAGUAGUUGUAGCAGGCUAAAAACAUUUUUUCUCCUCACGUGUGCUUAACAAAUAUCGAACUAGGCUUCUUGUUGACAACAUACAAGCCUUGAUAUAUACUAAAAAUUGGUUACUAGUAUUUGAUAUGCAGGGUAAAUAAUAUGUAAUAAUUAUUGUCUUUUAAUCACUUAGCUUGACUUUAUUCUAAUAUUUUAUUAUUUUGAGUUUUAGGAAAAGAAGAUGAAGAUAUGGAGAUGGAGAAGGCUCAAGCUACUUCAAAUAUGAAAUCAUUUGUUGUUGGAGAUGUUUAAAUUUCAUAUUUUAGAUUUAUUGCUUCGAUUUCUUUGUUAAGACAUUAUUUAUUUUAUUGAUAUAAUUGACUAAUUAUUGAGAUUUUAUUUAUCUUUGUAUUGAACUUAAUUUGAUUGUAUUAUAUUUUUAUUAAAAUUAAAAUUCUUUUAAAAUUAGGCUCGCGGACUGGCUCGUUUGACCCGCGGGAUCCGUGGGGCGGGGGCGGACCAAUUUAUUUCGUCUGUGUAAGAAGCGGGGCGGAUUGGCCCGAUCCGCUACCAAUGCGGGCUCAUGCGGACGGGCCUUACACGGGGCAUGCCGGUCCGCUUACCCACCCCUAGUAACUAUGCACGUGAUCUAUCUAAUGAAUUCCACCUCCUUUUUAUACAUCAUACACAUGCAAUGUUAAUCACUAUAAUAUAAAACAAUUUAAUUAUAUAUUAUUAUUACUAUGAUUUUUUUAAGAUAGUUAUAUUCAAUAUUUAUAUAAUUAUUAUAUAGGAUGGAUAAUGAUUUAAUAAUAUUAUAAAAUUAUUUUACAUUUGUUUGUGUAUAAUCUUGUUUUCUACAAAUAAAUAAAAAUAAUAAUAAAAUAAAACAUUAAUAUACCAUAAAAAAUAAAUAUUAAAAAAGAAAUGUAAAUAAUCAAUUAAAAUAUAUAAAUUUUAUAACAAUUUAUUCAUAUUUAAGUAAUUUUUAAAAUAUGUAUAUAAAUUAUUUUUCAAAUAAAUAUAUUAUUAAUAUACAUAAUUCAAACUAUGAAAAAUAUAUUAUUGAAAUAUUUAAAACACCAAAUACAUUUUAAAAAUUUGAUUUAAAUAAUAUUAAAAUUAAAACAUAACAAUCCCAGAAAAUAUUUUUAUAAAUCAGUAUUUUGUUGGAGAUAAGAAAAUACACUUUCGUUUUUAAUUCUAAAUAUUUUAUAAUGUAUUGUUGUUUUUCCAUACUGUAAUAUAUAAAAAAGAUGUAUAAUCUAUUUAAGUUUUAGUAUUUUAUACUGAAUUUCAAUUUGUUAGUUCUUUACAUAUUAAUUUUAUUUUUCAAAUUUUGUAGUAUCAUAUAUUACCUUUUUAAUAUUUGAAAGACUUGUAAUAUCAAAUAAAAUAAUAUUGCAAUUAAUGUAUAUAUUAACAUAUAAAAAUGUAUAGCAUAGAUAAAAAAAAAAAAAAAAUCAAACAUGAUCGACAAUGAAAGUUUAAAUAUUGAACAAGUUGUAUGAUGUCUUCUCGGGUACACCACUCUACUUCUCUAAGUGGUGCAUUGAUUUACUAGAUAAUUUUUUUUAAGGAAUCCAUUAAAUAUAUUUUUCUCCAAUCAUGAUAUUAUUACAAAGUUGUUUUUACGUGGUGAUUGAUUUUCAAGAUGGUGAGCACAUACAAGAUAAUUUUGAGGAUCCAAAGCACCUACAAAAUAGCUGAUAAGGUUUUAAGUUAUACUACAUACAAUUUGGUUAAAUUUUCUUAUAUUGUAAAAAAAUUAUAGAUAAAAGUGGUCACAAUUAUUGUCACCCCUACUGGAGAAAGAAGAUUCUAAAUCAAUUAUUUGGAGCGUUCUACAUAGUGGCCAAAAUCAUGAUCACCAACUAUUUUUUAAAACCUAGCUACAGAGGAUAAAGUCGUUGCUUAAACAUCAUCUCGCCUAUAAAUAGACCCAAAUAAUUUGAGGUUCCAUACUUCAAAAUCCAAAUCUAGCGAUUAAUUAUAGUUUAGGCAGCAAAUUAUGGAAUCCCAUGAUGAGGAGCAUGCUGCCAAACUACUUAGAGCUCAAACCCACAUAUGGAAUCACAUAUUUAGCUUCAUAAACUCCAUGUCCCUUAAAUGUGUGGUUGACUUAGGCAUACCAGAUAUCAUACACAACUAUGGCCAACCCAUGCCACUCUCAAACCUCAUUGCUUCACUACCAAUCCACCCAUCCAAAACUUGCUUCGUCCAUUGCUUGAUGCGAAUCAUGAUCCAUUCUGGCUUCUUCUCUCAACAAAACCAUGACUUGGAGAAUGAGCUAGAAGCCAAGUAUGUGCUAACCGAUGCAUCUGUACUAUUGCUUAAGAACCAUCCGCUGAGUGUGACACCUUUCUUGCAUGCCAUGCUUGAUCCAGUUUUGACAAAUCCAUGGAAUCAAUUUUCUACUUGGUUCAAAAAUGGUGACCCUACACCAUUUGAAACGGCACAUGGGAAGAUGUUUUGGGAUUAUGCUGGCGCUGAUCCGAAACUUAAUCACUUGUUCAAUGAUGCCAUGGCAAGUGAUGCUCGAUUUGUCACUAGUUUGGUGAUUGAGAAAUGUAAGGGAG
rnacentral:lncRNA from 1 species